rnacentral:rRNA from 1 species
UGCAAGUCGAGCGAACAGACGAGGAGCUUGCUCCUUUGACGUUAGCGGCGGACGGGUGAGUAACACGUGGGUAACCUACCUAUAAGACUGGGAUAACUUCGGGAAACCGGAGCUAAUACCGGAUAAUAUUUCGAACCGCAUGGUUCGAUAGUGAAAGAUGGCUCUGCUAUCACUUAUAGAUGGACCUGCGCCGUAUUAGCUAGUUGGUAAGGUAACGGCUUACCAAGGCAACGAUACGUAGCCGACCUGAGAGGGUGAUCGGCCACACUGGAACUGAGACACGGUCCAGACUCCUACGGGAGGCAGCAGUAGGGAAUCUUCCGCAAUGGGCGAAAGCCUGACGGAGCAACGCCGCGUGAGUGAUGAAGGUCUUCGGAUCGUAAAACUCUGUUAUUAGGGAAGAACAAACGUGUAAGUAACUGUGCACGUCUUGACGGUACCUAAUCAGAAAGCCACGGCUAACUACGUGCCAGCAGCCGCGGUAAUACGUAGGUGGCAAGCGUUAUCCGGAAUUAUUGGGCGUAAAGCGCGCGUAGGCGGUUUUUUAAGUCUGAUGUGAAAGCCCACGGCUCAACCGUGGAGGGUCAUUGGAAACUGGAAAACUUGAGUGCAGAAGAGGAAAGUGGAAUUCCAUGUGUAGCGGUGAAAUGCGCAGAGAUAUGGAGGAACACCAGUGGCGAAGGCGACUUUCUGGUCUGUAACUGACGCUGAUGUGCGAAAGCGUGGGGAUCAAACAGGAUUAGAUACCCUGGUAGUCCACGCCGUAAACGAUGAGUGCUAAGUGUUAGGGGGUUUCCGCCCCUUAGUGCUGCAGCUAACGCAUUAAGCACUCCGCCUGGGGAGUACGACCGCAAGGUUGAAACUCAAAGGAAUUGACGGGGACCCGCACAAGCGGUGGAGCAUGUG